rnacentral:rRNA from 1 species
CCUACGGGAGGCUGUAGUGGGGAAUAUUGCACAAUGGGCGCAAGCCUGAUGCAGCCAUGCCGCGUGUGUGAAGAAGGCCUUCGGGUUGUAAAGCACUUUCAGCGGGGAGGAAGGCGUUAAGGUUAAUAACCUUGUCGAUUGACGUUACCCGCAGAAGAAGCACCGGCUAACUCCGUGCCAGCAGCCGCGGUAAUACGGAGGGUGCAAGCGUUAAUCGGAAUUACUGGGCGUAAAGCGCACGCAGGCGGUCUGUCAAGUCGGAUGUGAAAUCCCCGGGCUCAACCUGGGAACUGCAUUCGAAACUGGCAGGCUAGAGUCUUGUAGAGGGGGGUAGAAUUCCAGAUGUAGCGGUGAAAUGCGUAGAGAUCUGGAGGAAUACCGGUGGCGAAGGCGGCCCCCUGGACAAAGACUGACGCUCAGGUGCGAAAGCGUGGGGAGCAAACAGGAUUAGAUACCCGGGUAGUC